GCACACGUACGUCGCAGAGAUGUCUGCGCGAUGUCUUCUUUUUCGUCUGGAAGACGUAUUAUAUAGGGCGUUUGCUCAUCUGGAAGGCGUCGCCGAGACGUCCGACCCAGCUGUUUGCAAGACACCCAGCAGAUCUUUACAAGAUGUAUGUUAUUUAGAACGAUGGCGAGCCGCCGUUUCCCAGAUCUUUACAAGAUGUUAGAACAGCAAGCCGCUCUUUCACAGAUCUUUAGAAGAGCUUUAAAAGAUGCCGAGCCGCUCUUUUCCAGAUGUUUAGAAGAGCUUUAAAAGAUGCCGAGCCGCUCUUUUCCAGAUGUUUAGAAGAGCUUUAAAAGAUGCCGAGCCGCUCUUUCCCAGAUCUUUAGAAGAGCUUAAAAAGACGGUCAUGAUUCUACAUAACAACAUCCGCUUGACCUCGCAAUGCCAAGAAGAAGAAAGGCGUGGAACAUUUGCUUAAGCCUGUCAAGAUCUUCAGCAGAUGUUUGAGCAAAAAGUCAUCAUCCUCUUCGUCACUCUUCAUCCGUAUUUGGGGUAACAAGCACCUGCUUCCCACAAGAGACUGGACAGCUGAUGUCAGACCUGCACCUUCCUUGAACAUGUUGGUAUCUUACUCUGUAUUUGUUCACGGUGGUCACCCCAGGGUCUCAGGACUCAAAUUGAGUGCUCUAUGGAUUAAACAGAAAAUGCAGUAUAAACAAGUGUUAUGUUGUCUUCAACAUGUUGGUAAGGUAACACUU